GAAUGAAGUGAUGAAUGAAUUUGUUUCCCUAUUGGUUUGAUUUUGCCGCCAUGAUGGCAAGUUUUGUAUUAGCUCUAUCUGAUCAUUC